rnacentral:rRNA from 1 species
GGCCUACCAUGGUUUUAACGGGUAACGGGGAAUUAGGGUUCGAUUCCGGAGAGGGAGCCUGAGAAACGGCUACCACAUCCAAGGAUGGCAGCAGGCGCGCAAAUUACCCAAUCCCGACACGGGGAGGUAGUGACAAUAAAUAACAAUACGGGGUUCUUUCGGAUCUCGUAAUUGGAAUGAGUACAAUUUAAAUCUCGUAACGAGGAACAAUUGGAGGGCAAGUCUGGUGCCAGCAGCCGCGGUAAUUCCAGCUCCAAUAGCGUAUAUUAAAGUUGUUGCAGUUAAAAAGCUYGUAGUUGAAUUUCGAGAUCGGCUUACUGGUCGUGCUUUUGUACGUACUGGUAAAUCGGUUUCUCCUUUCUGACGAACUUUAAUGCCAUUAAUUUGGUGUUUUAGGGAAUCAGGACUGUUACUUUGAAAAAAUUAGAGUGUUUAAAGCAGGCUCACGCUUGAAUACAUURGCAUGGAAUAACGGAAUAGGACGUUUGAUUCUAUUUUGUUGGUUUCUAGGAUCGACGUAAUGAUUAAUAGGGAUAGUUGGGGGCAUUAGUAUUCAAUUGUCAGAGGUGAAAUUCUUGGAUUUAUUGAAGACUAACUACUGCGAAAGCAUUUGCCAAGGAUGUUUUCAUUAAUCAAGAACGAAAGUUAGGGGAUCGAARACGAUCAGAUACCGUCGUAGUCUUAACCAUAAACUAUGCCGAYUARGGAUCGGAWGAWGUUAAUUUUUUAAUGACUCAUUCGGCGCCUUACGGGAAACCAAAGUGUUUGGGUUCA